AAGACUAAAUUCUCAGGGAUCAUUUCUAUAGUUGGUUACUACUGACUGUAGAAAGCUCAAGGACAAGACAUAGUGUCCCCUCCUGAGCCUGAAGCCAGCUUUAUGUGCUGCUUCUAUGCAGUAGCCUCUUGCCAUUGAUGAUCGUGCUUCUCUCCUUUGGAAGGUAAGAGGGAGGGAAUGCAGUCUGAGUGGC
ensembl:snoRNA LOC120097286 small nucleolar RNA U3